rnacentral:ncRNA from 17 species
UAUCUUUGCCCCCGCAACGGUUCGGGCGAAUGAAGCCCGAUUAAAAGGGAAUCAGGUGAGAGUCCUGAACAGUCCCGCUGCUGUAAGUUCCGUACGAGAAGUGUCGCAAGCCAUUCUUUUGCCACUGGAUGUAUUCCGGGAAGGCGGCUUGCCGACAGGAACAAGUCAGAAGACCUGCCGUGUGCCUGAGUGUCUUC